rnacentral:RNase_P_RNA from 1 species
CGCGCAGGCCGCCUUAUCGCUUCAUCUUCGGAUGAAGAGGAAAGUCCGGGCACCACAGGGAAGCAUAGCGGCUAACAGCCGUCGGUUCGCUCAGGCGAAUUAGGACAAGUGCAACAGAAAGAAUGUACAGGUCAUGCUGUAGUGAAAUCAGGUAAACUCUAUGCGGUGAAAUGUCACGUAUACCCACGCUUGAAGAUGCCCGUCUGAGUGGGAGGGUAGGCAGAUUGAACGUUUCAGUAAUGAAUCGUCUAGAUAAAUGAUAAGGGUCCAGAAAUGGAUACAGAAUCCGGCUUAUAGGCCUGCUUUUUUU